CGGUAUAGCCAAGUGGUAAGGCAGAAGAUUGCAAAUCUU
rnacentral:tRNA from 1 species